AAGGCGCCAGAUUUAAGCUCUGGUUCCCGAAGGGGAGCGUGGGUUCGAACCCCACACCUGACAAAUUUUAUUUAAUCCACAAAAUUGUAAUU